rnacentral:rRNA from 1 species
UACGAAGGGGGCUAGCGUUGCUCGGAAUCACUGGGCGUAAAGGGUGCGUAGGCGGUCGCGUAAGUCAGGUGUGAAAUCCCGGGGCUCAACCCCGGAACUGCACUUGAUACUGCGUGGCUAGGGUACUGGAGAGGAGACUGGAAUUUACGGUGUAGCAGUGAAAUGCGUAGAUAUCGUAAGGAAGACCAGUGGCGAAGGCGAGUCUCUGGACAGUUACCGACGCUGAGGCACGAAGGCCAGGGGAGCAAACGGG